rnacentral:rRNA from 1 species
UGGGGAUUAUUGGACAUUGGGCGAAAGCCUGAUCCAGCCAUGCCGCGUGUGUGAAGAAGGUCUUCGGAUUGUACAGCACUUUAAGUUGGGAGGAAGGGCAGUAAGCGAAUACCUUGCUGUUUUGACGUUACCGACAGAAUAAGCACCGGCUAACUCUGUGCCAGCAGCCGCGGUAAUACAGAGGGUGCAAGCGUUCAUCGGAAUUACUGGGCGUAAAGCGCGCGUAGGUGGUUCGUUAAGUUGAAUGUGAAAGCCCCGGGCUCAACCUGGGAACUGCAUCCAAAACUGACGAGCUAGAGUAGGGCAGAGGGUGGUGAAAUUUCCUGUGUAGCGGUGAAAUACGUAGAUAUAGGAAGGAACACCAGUGGCGAAGGCGACCACCUAGGCGCAUACUGACACUGAGGUGCGAAAGCGUGAGGAGCAAACAGG